AGGAUCUCGUGUCUCUUCCUAUUCAUUCCCAUAUCCGCCUCGCCCUCGUUCCUCUGAAUCUCUUCCAACCAUCAAUUCUCUUUUUAUUAUUAUUUGCUUUCGCAAGCAGCCCCUCAAUGGCGAAGAACAAAAGAAAACGAAACCAAAAUCCGCAACCUUUUCUAGCAGAUGACGAUUCCGUCGCCUCCACAAAGAAACGCUUCAAAGCUGCCAAACACCACCAAAAACAAGACAAAAUGAUUUCUUAUGGGAUGAGUUUGAAAAUCUUGAAAGAAGCGCUUCUUCAGCAGAAGGAAAUAGACGAGGAAGACUCAGCAGGGAAUUUUAAUGGCGCAUUUGGUUCUGUUGAAGAAGAGCGGAAUAAGCAUGAAGAAGAAGAGGAUAUUGAUGAUUUUGGUGGAUUUUCUGAGACGCAAAGUCAGUUUGGCAACUAUGAAGAGGAGAUUGAUGAGGAAGAUGAGAAAUUGCUGGAGGCAUUCUUGUCAAAGAAUGCUGGUCCAGAAAGGGCGCUUGCAGACCUUAUAAUUAAGAAGAUCAAGGAGAAUGAUGCAAAUGUUGCUUCAGAAACACGACCCUUACCUAAGUUGGAUGAUUCCCUCAUAGAUUUGUAUAAGGGAGUUGGAAAGUUUCUGAACAAAUACACAGCAGGGAAAAUGCCCAAGGCCUUUAAACACAUUCCUUCUAUGCAACUCUGGGAGGAUGUUCUGUACUUGACUGAACCUGAAAAUUGGUCUCCGAAUGCAAUGUUUCAAGCCACAAGAAUAUUUGCUUCCAAUCUGGGUGCUAAGAAGGCAGAGCGUUUUUAUAGGCUAGUCUUGCUUCCUCGUGUUAGAGAUGAUAUUCGGAAGAAUAAACGUCUUCAUUUUGCACUUUAUCAGUCUUUGAAAAAGGCUUUAUACAACCUGCUGCAUUCAACAAGGGAAUAUUGUUACCUUUGUGUAAGUCAGGGACAUGCAAUCUCAGGGAGGCUAAUAUUAUUGGGAGUGUUCUUCCAAAAGUCUCCAUUCCUGGGCUUCACUCAAGUGUUGCAUAAUGAUGCUUGCGGAGAUGGAAUAGUGUGGCGCAACAAGUUAUUUUAUAAAAGCUUCUUUUGGAGAAGAAGUAUGCUCUGCCAUAUUGUGUUGUUGAUGCAGUUGUUUCUCAUUUUAUGAGAUUUCUUGAGGAUACAAGGAUAAUGCCUGUCAUAUGGCAUCAGUCGCUUCUGGCAUUUGUGCAAAGGUACAAAAAUGCAUUGCGCAAGGAAGAUAAAGAUAACCUUAGAAUUCUAGUUGAGACACAAAAGCAUAAAUUAGUUACUCCCCAAAUUAUUUGAUAGCUAGAUAACAGCCGCAAUCGGGGUGAGAAGGAGGAUGACCUUAUGUUGAUGGAUAUCCUUUUCUCUUCUAGGGUUCUUUUCAUUUGAUGUUUUUGAAUGUAAGCAUUUUAUUACAUGACAGAUUUUUGUCCUUUUAUUGAUGUGAUAUUGCUUGUGUAUAUAUUUGUUCUUAGGUUUUAGAGUUUAUAACAUACUGAAUGUGUUUCAGAAAGUUGAUAAAUCACCAGGGAAAGCUAUGAAAAAUGUCUUGUAAUGUG